AUUUGCAAUCUGAUGUGAGAUUCAGAAACCCACGAGAGAGAGGGAUUGAACAGACCUAAGCCCAGCCGCCGCCCUCUGCUGGAAACAGUGGCCUCUUCCAUCACACCAUGCUUUCUUCUCCAAGCAACAACCAUUGCCAUGGUGACCUCCCUCCUCCUCUCACAUAAGCUCACCAUUCCUUCCUCCUCCCAUCUCAGGGAUGGACAACUUUGACUUUACAAUUGCCCUUUACUAUUGGGGGGAAGAUUACGAAUAAUCCAUACAGAGACGAAGGAAGGAAGGUAAAGAUAUAUGAAGAUAAUAAUUCUGAUGAAAUUUCACUUGUUGAGAUAUGGCUGCUACAAGUGAGACAUCUAGAAGAAUUACAAAGUUCUAUAAGAAUGCACAAGUGCAUAAGUGAACAAAAUUUCUUGUGGAUAAAUGUGCAAAUGUGAAGGCGCUUGUGGAGAUAAAUGUGUAUUUGAAGUGGAUUGAAUGCUUAGAUAUUUUGAAAUAGUUCUAGAGAAUUUAAACAUGUGGAACAGUGGAAUUUAAUAUGAUGCUUAUUAGAAACUUUUAUGCA